GGCCGCCGCCGGGUACCGGCCCCGCCUCGCCUGCAAGCUCGGCUGGGCUGCAUGGUUUGGUCCCGACCGGCUGGAGCCCAUUCUCUAGCACUUUGCAGGAAUUUACAGAUAGAAAGACAACAACCAUUGCAUCUUUCCCUCCAUGAGCCAGGCCCACGUGGCGGUGGGCACGGGAUUCGUCGUUUGUCCCGAGUUGCUGCUCCUCCCCGCCCCGUCCCCCCACCCCCACCCGGGUUUAGCCACCAAGGAAGGGCUGAGGACCCAGGUUCCAUAGUGCAAACAAGAGAAGGGGUAUUGGGGUGGGGGGAACCGUCUCGCAUUCUUGAGAAAUGUCUGGAUCUUUUCACAAUGAGAAGCUCGCCAGGUACUAUUGGCCUGUUGAUGGGUCUCCAGCCACGCAAAGGCCUGAAUCGUGGUGUCCCGGUUUGUCCUAUCCCUGAGGCAGCUGGAAGUCGCAGCAACCUGAAGGUCGCGAGGUGGGGGGCGCUGUUGUACGGGGAAACCCUCCUGGAUUGUCCCCUUUCUUUUCUCUCCCACUCCAGCCCGCUGGGGCCUAGAGUUAGGAAUGUUCAAGUCGCCGCCCAGAGCUUCAGGCAGAGUCUGGCCUCCUGGUGCUGAGGGGACUGAAGGGAGUCAGUCCGGCAUGAGAUUGGGAGAUCGCU
rnacentral:lncRNA from 1 species